GACGAAUUCUCGGUCCCGGUCGA
rnacentral:siRNA from 1 species